rnacentral:miRNA from 2 species
CAGUGCAAUUGUGAAAGGGCAU